rnacentral:rRNA from 1 species
GACGAACGCUGGCGGCGUACUUAACACAUGCAAGUCGAACGGAAAGGCCCUGCUUUUGUGGGGUGCUCGAGUGGCGAACGGGUGAGUAACACGUGAGUAACCUGCCCUUGACUUUGGGAUAACUUCAGGAAACUGGGGCUAAUACCGGAUAGGAGCUCCUGCUGCAUGGUGGGGGUUGGAAAGUUUCGGCGGUUGGGGAUGGACUCGCGGCUUAUCAGCUUGUUGGUGGGGUAGUGGCUUACCAAGGCUUUGACGGGUAGCCGGCCUGAGAGGGUGACCGGCUACAUUGGGACUGAGAUACGGCCCAGACUCCUACGGGAGGCAGCAGUGGGGAAUAUUGCACAAUGGGCGGAAGCCUGAUGCAGCAACGCCGCGUGCGGGAUGACGGCCUUCGGGUUGUAAACCGCUUUCGCCUGUGACGAAGCGUGAGUGACGGUAAUGGGUAAAGAAGCACCGGCUAACUACGUG